CCUACGGGCGGCAGCAGUGGGGGAUAUUGCACAAUGGGGGAAACCCUGAUGCAGCGACGCCGCGUGUGGGAAGACGGUCCUCUGGAUUGUAAACCACUGUCCCCAGGGACGAAGAUGACGGAACCGGGGGAGGAAGCUCCGGCUAACUACGUGCCAGCAGCCGCGGUAAUACGUAGGGAGCGAGCGUUGGCCGGAAUUACUGGGUGUAAGGGGAGCGUAGGGGGGGAUGCAAGUUGGGUGUCAAAACUACCGGCUCAACUGGUAGUCGCACUCAAAACUGCAGCUCUUGAGUGAAGUAGAGGCAGGCGGAAUUCCUAGUGUAGCGGUGAAAUGCGUAGAUAUUAGGAGGAACACCAGUGGCGAAGGCGGCCUGCUGGGCUUUUACUGACGCUGAGGCUCGAAAGUGUGGGGAGCAAACAGGAUUAGAUACCCGGGUAGUC
rnacentral:rRNA from 1 species